GGGGGUGUAGCUCAGCGGUAGAGCAUGUGCUUAACAUACAUGAGGCCCUAGGUUCGAUCCUCAGCACUUCCA
rnacentral:tRNA from 1 species